rnacentral:misc_RNA from 1 species
UUUAGGGAGACCUACCCAUUCAGAUUCUGAAAGCACAGUGCAAAUAAGAACUGGAUUGGUCAUCCCAAAGUCGUUCGAGGUAUAGGUGUAGGCUUUCAAACUAUUUCCGGGUUUGACAUCACUUCAGUGGCAGAACCGCCCCUUGAGAGUACGGUUUUGACGACUGAAGUUCUUCUUUGAAAUCGAUAUAGUAGUAGAUGUGGAUGUUGAGUCAGUUGAGACCAAGACCUCAACGAAGCGAACCAGAAGAUGCUCAACAAACAACCCUAAAAAAGCUUGGUUGUUCCCCCACAAACAAGAAUAGAUUCGCUAGAGUAGUGAAUGUGGCAAACGAGUUAGCCGGUGGGCGAGUGAACCGAUACUAACAAAGCGAUAAAACUUUAAUUACUUUGGAUAAACCUUCAGCAACUUGUUUAGUAAUGCGCUGGCAUACUAGAGAGCCUGCUGGACUUGUAUCCAGUUAGAACCUUGAAAAUUGCAUAGCAACUUGUCAGGUAGUUAGUGAAAGCUGAACGAAUGUUCAGAGAUUCACUAAUCACAGACAUCAAUGUAAGAAAUUGU